UACCCGCGGUCCAAGUCGCAGCCAUCUUUAUUGGGUAUAAAACAUCCGUAGCUUGCUUAAUAAGUUCCUUGUGAAAUCCUAAAUCUUAAGUUUAGGGCGGGCAAGGAGUACUGUUGAGCUAGAGACCGGAAGACGCAAGAGGUAUGUUCAAAGUAGUGGUGAAAUACUUUAAUCUUGGACAGACCCACAAUAGCGAAGGCAUCUUGCGAGGACGGUUCUGACAGUAAGGGAUGAAGGCUAGGGGC
rnacentral:rRNA from 1 species